ACUCAAAUGAAUUGACGGGGGCCUGCACAAGCGGUGGAGUAUGUGGCUCAAUUCGAUGCAACGCGAAGAACCUUACCUGGCCUUGACAUGCAUGUGGUAGAAGCCCGAAAGGGUAACGACCCCGCAAGGGGAGCUUGCACAGGUGCUGCAUGGCUGUCGUCAGCUCGUGUCGUGAGAUGUUGGGUUAAGUCCCGCAACGAGCGCAACCCUUGCGUCCUGUUGCCACCCCUACGAGAGUAGGGAGCACUCUGGACGGACUGCCUCGCUUCAACGGGGAGGAAGGUGGGGAUGACGUCAAGUCAGUAUGGCCCUUACGGCCAGGGCUGCACACGUACUACAAUGCCCGGUACAAAGGGAUGCCAAACCGAAAGGUGGAGCAAAUCCCCCAAAAACCGGGCCCAGUUCAGAUUGAGGUCUGCAACUCGACCUCAUGAAGUUGGAAUCGCUAGUAAUGGCGCAUCAGCUACGGCGCCGUGAAUACGUUCCCAGGCCUUGUACACACCGCCCGU
rnacentral:rRNA from 1 species